AGUCAGAUGUGAAAUCCCCGGGCUCAACCUGGGAACGCAUCUGAUACUGGCAAGCUUGASUCUCGUAGAGGGGGGUAGAAUUCCAGGUGUAGCGGUGAAAUGCGUAGAGAUCUGGAGGAAUACCGGUGGCGAAGGCGGCCCCCUGGACGAAGACUGACGCUCAGGUGCGAAAGCGUGGGGAGCAAACAGGAUUAGAUACCCUGGUAGUCCACGCCGUAAACGAUGUCGACUUGGAGGUUGUGCCCUUGAGGCGUGGCUUCCGGAGUAACGCGUUAAGUCGACCGCCUGGGAGUACGGCCGCAAGUUAAAACUCAAAUGAAUUGACGGGGGCCCGCAACAAGCGGUGNGCAUGUGGUUUAAUUCGAUGCAACGCG
rnacentral:rRNA from 1 species